UACAGAGGGUGCAAGCGUUGUUCGGAAUUAUUGGCGUAAAGCGCGUGUAGGCGGCUUGGCAAGUCAGAUGUGAAAGCCCUCGGCUUAACCGAGGAAGUGCGUCUGAAACUGCUGAGCUUGAGUGUCGGAGAGGAUGGCGGAAUUCCGCAAGUAGAGGUGAAAUUCGUAGAUAUGCGGAGGAACACCGGUGGCGAAGGCGGCCAUCUGGACGACCACUGACGCUGAGACGCGAAAGCGUGGGGAGCAACAGG
rnacentral:rRNA from 1 species